rnacentral:lncRNA from 1 species
CUAGUGAGUCUAAUUAAUGCUGGUACUGUUGAUAGUAUCUCUGGGAACAGAUUUCCUGGCAAAAAGAUAUUGUGUGAGGCUCCUGGCCUAUCCUUGUAACUAGAUGGCAUAUCACUUGGAGCUUGACCUCCAUUCCUGUACAUGUAUUUGGGUUGAAACCUCUAGAUGGUUCAACGUGUAGCUUUCCAGAGCCCAUGUGUAGAUCAGCUCUCAGUACUAUGUCCAGCUGCCACAUAGUAUCAUUGCAAAAGACAAAAAUCAGGGAAUCCAUGAAGCUAAAGCAACAUGAAAAACAAAGAAAAUCUUAUUUCACUCUCUCCUAGAGGAGAGUCAGUUACUAGAAAAUACUGGUAUCUUUUGGCUCAAUCCUGCUGCCAUUCUCAAUGUCAAUAGGAAAAUAGAAUGAAAAAUCCCCAAAGCACACAAUGUUUAGCCUGACCUUUCAAAACAACACUUUUAAAAAGAUGGUUAACAGUAACAGUCUCAGCACUACAGCUAUAAUUGUGCACAUGCCUCCACAUUAAACAGAAAUCAGAGGAACCAUUAAAACUCAAGUAUAAAUGUCAACCUUAUGGUGGACAUUUAUACCUUUUUUUUUUUUUUUGGGGGGGGGGGGUGGAGGGGGUUCAAACAAUUGCUUCUUUUAUCUGAAAUCCUCCAGAUCUGUAACGCUUUGAAAUGUUUAAUAUAUUAUGCAUUGAAAUGUUUAAUAUAUGUGACAUGAUGUAUUAUUCUGUGUCACUGUUACAUAGGAUGCUUCCUUAGAUUGUAUGACACAGUGUCACAGGGGGAAAGACAUCAAGAGGAAGUAUCAAAAAGAUGUCUUUUAUUCAUCACUGAAGGCAGUGGGACACCUCCUCUCAAUUAACAACUGCAGGAGUGCCUGGCUCUGUCCUUCACCCCCAGCUCCAGGGUAUAUUAGUUACCAUCCUGAAAACUGCCUAUUACAAGUGCAGAGUAGCUCCUUGUCUGAGUCUCCACCUUUUAAACCCAUUAAAUUAUUUCUUUUAGCAAGCCCAGCUACCCUCCUGGGUCUUUCAAAGACCUAGUGCUUUUUGAACUCAGGCUUUCCCAAGAUCUG